rnacentral:rRNA from 1 species
CUACAAGCGGGGGAUAAUUUUUCGAGAAACGGAUGCUAAUACCGCAUAGAUCUUUUUGUCUCCUGGCAGAAAGAAGAAAGACGGUUUCGGCUGUCACUUGUAGAUGGACCCGCGGCGCAUUAGUUAGUUGGUGAGGUAAUGGCUCACCAAGACGAUGAUGCGUAGCCGACCUGAGAGGGUGAUCGGCCACACUGGGACUGAGACACGGCCCAGACUCCUACGGGAGGCAGCAGUAGGGAAUCUUCCGCAAUGGACGAAAGUCUGACGGAGCAACGCCGCGUGAGUGAAGAAGGUUUUCGGAUCGUAAAACUCUGUUGUUAGAGAAGAACAAGGAUGAGAGUAACUGCUCGUCCCUUGACGGUAUCUAACCAGAAAGCCAUGGCUAACUACGUGCCAGCAGCCGCGGUAAUACGUAGAUGGCAAGCGUUGUCCGGAUUUAUUGGGCGUAAAGCGAGCGCAGGCGGUUCUUUAAGUCUGAUGUGAAAGCCCCUGGCUCAACCAGGGAGGGUCAUUGGAAACUGGAGAACUUGAGUGCAGAAGAGGAAAGUGGAAUUCCAUGUGUAGCGGUGAAAUGCGUAGAUAUAUGGAGGAACACCAGUGGCGAAGGCGACUUUCUGGUCUGUAACUGACGCUGAGGCUCGAAAGCAUGGGGAGCAAACAGGAUUAGAUACCCUGGUAGUCCAUGCCCGUAAACGAUGAG